AACGAACGCUGGCGGCGUGCUUAACACAUGCAAGUCGAACGGUGAAUUGCCUUCCUGUGUGGCGGGGGUGGGUGAGUGGCGAACAGGUGAGUAACACGUCGGUAUCCUGCCCCCUUCGUCGUGCUAACAGCAUGAAAUGUUUUCGAAUCCGAGAUUUUUCGGGUUUGUCUCGUGCUGGGUCGGGUAAGCUAGUUGGUUCGGUAAGAGAUUAGCUGGGCGCCUAUCAGUUGGUUGGUGGGGUGGUUGCUUAGCAAGGCGGUGACUGGUAGCCGGCCUAGGAGGGUGGACGGUCACACUGGGACUGAGAGACGGCCCAGACUCGUACGGGAGGCAGCAGUGGGGAAUAUUGCACGGUGGGCGGAGGAAUGAUGCAGCGACGCCGCGAGAGGGAUGGAGGCCUUCGGGUUGUGAACAUCUUUCGCCAGUGAAGCAGGCCUGCCUCGUUUGUGGGUGGGUUGGCGGUAGCUGGAUAAGAAGCGCCGGCUAACUACGUG
rnacentral:rRNA from 1 species